rnacentral:rRNA from 1 species
GAUCCUGGCUCAGGAUGAACGCUAGCGACAGGCUUAACACAUGCAAGUCGAGGGGCAGCAUAAAAGUAGCAAUACUUGGUGGCGACCGGCGCACGGGUGAGUAACGCGUAUGCAACCUACCUAUCAGAGGGGAAUAACCCGGCGAAAGUCGGACUAAUACCGCAUAAAACAGGGGCACCGCAUGGUGAUAUUUGUUAAAGAAAUUCGCUGAUAGAUGGGCAUGCGUUCCAUUAGGUAGUUGGUGGGGUAACGGCUCACCAAGCCGACGAUGGAUAGGGGAACUGAGAGGUUGGUCCCCCACACUGGUACUGAGACACGGACCAGACUCCUACGGGAGGCAGCAGUGAGGAAUAUUGGUCAAUGGGCGGGAGCCUGAACCAGCCAAGUCGCCGUGAAGGAAGAAGGAUCUAUGGUUCGUAAACUUCUUUUGCAGGGGAAUAAAGUGCAGGACGUGUCCUGUUUUGUAUGUACCCUGAGAAUAAGGAUCGGCUAACUCCGUGCCAGCCGCCGC